UGACGAACUGCACCUCGUGGUCACUUCGCUUACUUGCGCAUCCGCUGCCUCUAGAAAAGAUAGAAAAAUUGGAAAGAAUAAAAACGAGACAAACCGAUACGUUUACGGUGGCGAGAUAGUCCGCACGAAUUUUUUCUCCUGAAAAAAAUCUCCCAUGCAAAAUAUUAGAUCCCGCGCCAUGAUCAAGACUGCCACCACCCACAUAAUGGACACCAUCUCCGCAACACAACUCCACAUACCUCCACUUUGAUCAUCUCAAGUUGUCAAUCAGCGAAGGCAGACAGAGCGGAUUAGUUGGUGAAGGAAAGUGCUGAAGAAGGUAUCCAUCAUAUACAUACUGUAUGGUGGAUGGGCUGCCUGGUGGCUAUCUUGGUAAUGGCAGGAUCUAAUAUUUGCAUGGAAGAUUUUUUAUCAUUGGGGAAAGAUUCCAUGCCACUGCCGCCGGUAGACUAUCUCGCUCGUCGCCCCCCCUCCGUAAACCGAACCACAAAUACAAAGUCAGGAUGAAAAUACCAAAGGUUUCUUCUCAUUGUGACUCAUUCGUCUCAACCCUUGCCAUUCCCUUUAACAAGAACUUGUUGGAAGCUGUUCUUCAGUUUUCUCGAUUUCUUUCUUCUACCACUUGUUCACUUCCUUCGUGCUCUUUUCCAUCAGUCUUUCGUUAUUCACACUACAAGACGCAUGAUUUUGCCUCCUCUUGCGGCAGGAGGAGGAAUUGCGCUCGUGAAUGUCGCUGCUUUGUUUUUAGUGGCCUGAGGCAUUGGCGCGAGGCGGAAUCAUAAGUCAUUUAUUUACUCCCCAACUGGUUUUCGUCCGUUGACGGUGAUGGAUUGCUCGCUGCUGCUAAUUACUAGAUCAUCACAAGUAGUAAGAUAA
rnacentral:sRNA from 1 species